rnacentral:ncRNA from 1 species
AAUAAAGUUUUAUUUUGGCUUAAUAGUUUAGUUUUUUUUGGUUUUACAUGUAAGUUUAAGCAGUUUUAGUGGGUUUAAAUAGGCCAUUAUUUUUCUGGUUGCAGUAUAGAAGCUUAGAUAUUAAGGAAUUUUAGAUCUAGUUAUUAAAAAUAGUACUGGCUAAGCUUGUGCCAGCAGCCGCGGUUAUACAAGCAGUGCAAUUAAAUUUUAUUUGGUAUAUAGUAAGUAAUAUUAAUUUGUUUUAAAUAAGGACUUAUUAGGUGAAAUUUUAAGUUUUAUUAAGGACAUGAUGAGAUUUAUGAGUCUAUGAAAUUUUUGGUUUAGACUAGGAUUAGAUACCCUAUUAUUGGAAACGUAAAUUUUGAGUGCCUGAAUAGUAUUAGUUAUGUUCUUGAAAAUUAAAAAAUUUGGCGGUAUUUUAGUCUUUUCAGAGGAACCUGUCCUAUAAUUGAUGGUCCACGAUUAAUUGUACUUGUUCUUAGUUUGUAUAUCGUCGUAGGUUGAAUGUUUUUUAAGAAUAUUAAAUGUUCAAGAUUUUUAAUGGGAAUGGAAGUCAGAUCAAGAUACAGCGGAUGAACAAGAAGAGAUGGGUUACAAUAAAUUUAUUUAUAUGGUUGAGGCAGCUAACACUGUUUUUUAAAGUGGAUUUGAAAGUAAUAUGGUUGAGUUUAACUGUGUGAUUUGAGCUCUAAAAUAUGCACAUAUCGCCCGUCGCUCCCGUAUAAGGCGGGAUAAGUCGUAACAGAGUAGGCGUACCGGAAGGUGUGCCUAGAAUGG